AUAAAAGUGAUUACUCUGCUGCAAAGGUUUUUAUAGGGUUUAGGUCUUGCUAAGGGGGAUGUUUAGGGGAGAGAAGCUUUUUUUUAUGGUCAUGUAUAGGAACUGACACUUUGUCUGCAGCAAUCUACUUUACCUCCUAAACAUAUCGGUACUCAAAGACUCCAUCUGUUGGAUUUGUAUGAGUAAUCCUGGGGCUGGCAUUUCUUUGCCCUUCAUGUAGAAGCCUGGAGAGAUCCUUGUAACUCUGGAACAAGGAGGCUCAAGACAGACACCAGAUUCGAUCUUCAAAGGAGGCAAACCUGCUUUUAUCCAGGCACCGAUUCGAGGAGAAGUCUGUCUCUUUAAUUGCAUCUCCCAGAGAGGGUCCAAUCUCUGUCCCGCUGCAUGCUACGGUCCUCAAGUUGCUUGGCAGGGCAUUAUCUCGACUGUGACACUAUGACACUCUUGCCUGCGGAAAGUAGAAAAGGAGAUUUUGUUCAAAGUUAGAGAAAUUGCAAAACUCAGUAAAUGAAAUGAAUAAUUAAAUAA
rnacentral:lncRNA from 1 species